rnacentral:rRNA from 1 species
CACGGAAUUAGCCGGUCCUUUUUCUGAAGGUACAUACAAGAAGGGACAAGUCCCUUUUUUAUUCCCAACUAAAAGCAGUUUACAACCCGGAGGGCCGUCAUCCUGCACGCUACUUGGCUGGUUCAGGCUCUCGCCCAUUGACCAAUAUUCCUCACUGCUGCCUCCCGUAGGAGUCUGGACCGUGUCUCAGUUCCAGUGUGGGGGACCUUCCUCUCAGAACCCCUACCGAUCGAAGGCUAGGUGGGCCGUUACCCCGCCUACUACCUAAUCGGACGCAUCACCAUCUCAUACCGAUAAAUCUUUGGUUACUCUCCCAUGCGAGAAAGCAACAACAUCGGGUAUUAAUCUUACUUUCGCAAGGCUAUCCCCGAGUAUGAGGCAGGUUUGAUACGCGUUACGCACCCGUGCGCCGGUCGCCGGCAUUGAAAGCAAGCUUUCAACCCGCUGCCCCUCGACUUGCAUGUGUUAAGCCUGUAGCUAGCGUUCAUCCUGAGCCAGGAUCAAACUCU